rnacentral:rRNA from 1 species
AGUGAACGCUGGCGGUAGGCCUAACACAUGCAAGUCGAACGGCAGCACAGUAAGAGCUUGCUCUUACGGGUGGCGAGUGGCGGACGGGUGAGGAAUACAUCGGAAUCUACUUUUUCGUGGGGGAUAACGUAGGGAAACUUACGCUAAUACCGCAUACGACCUACGGGUGAAAGCAGGGGAUCUUCGGACCUUGCGCGAUUGAAUGAGCCGAUGUCGGAUUAGCUAGUUGGCGGGGUAAAGGCCCACCAAGGCGACGAUCCGUAGCUGGUCUGAGAGGAUGAUCAGCCACACCGGAACUGAGACACGGUCCAGACUCCUACGGGAGGCAGCAGUGGGGAAUAUUGGACAAUGGGCGCAAGCCUGAUCCAGCCAUACCGCGUGGGUGAAGAAGGACUUAGGGUUGUAAAGCCCUUUUGUUGGGAAAGAAAAGCAGCAGGUUAAUACCCCGCUGUUCUGACGGUACCCAAAGAAUCAGCACCGGCUAACUUCGUG